GGACACCAGUGAGGUCACAUGGAACUCAUGCACGACCAAGCAUUUCCAUUUCAGUUAGGGAAGAUGACUCAGAUCCUGCAUGCACAGUUUUAUCACUAUGAUCCUUGCCUCUGAGCCUGUAUCUAUUCCAUAUCCUUCAUCUGAGCAUUCUGUCUGUAACCAGAAGGAAGCAGAGUUGUCCAUCGAGCAGACUAUGCUCUGGCAGUGUGUUCACAGUGUGGCUUCCUGGUCUGCUCCUCCCUCUUAGGAAUUCCCUGCCCCAGAAGCGCUUCUGUAAACCACCAAGACCUUUCAGGGGGCCGCUGGUUCUGGAGUGGAUGUCUGAGAGGUUAUGCUCGUGGGAUCUGACGCCAGGACUCACUCCUGCUGGGCCUGCACCAUUUGCUACCCAUGCUGAGAGGAGCACGCCCUGCCAAGCAGGUAUGCAGUCCACCGGACUCCUCCAUUUGGAAAUGCAGAGCACAGAUGGCAUCCGUUGUAUCAGAGUGGUGAUAAGGCUGGAUGAGGUACACACUGAGUAUGUCUGUCCGUGCACAUGCCCCUGUGCAUGCGGAUACAUGUGUGUGCACGUGCAUGGGUGUGGAGGCCAGGGGAUGACCUGGAUGCUUGAUAUACUUGUGUGCACGUGCAUGGGUGUGGAGGCCAGGGGAUGACCUGGAUGCUUGAUAUACUUGUGUGCACGUGCAUGGGUGUGGAGGCCAGGGGAUGACCUGGAUGCUUGAUAUACUUGUGUGCAUGUGCAUGGGUGUGGAGGCCAGGGGAUGACCUGGAUGCUUGUCUCUUGGGAGCUGCUGACCUUGGCUUUGCAGGCAGGGUCUCUCACCGACCUGGGCUCAUGGAUUGGGCUAGCAUGGCUGUCCGGGAACCCCAGGUAUCCUCCUGUCUGUGCCUUCCUACCUCUGGGUUUGCAAGCUCAUUGCCUCACUCAGCUCUUUUAAGUGGGUCCUGGUAACUGAACACAGGUCUUCACAAACCACCCCACUCCCAGCUCUAGAUUCACAUCAAAACAAGAACAAAAACCUUGUGGCCUAAUCCUAUAUCAAAAUCUCAGUGGAUCUUUUAAGAAGAAAACAGCUUUCCCCUUGGAUGCUUCAUACACGCAUAUGUACGGCGCAUUCUGAUCUCAUUUGCAACCCCUCACUCCGUCUUUUCUCCCUCGCCCCAGUUAACUCCUGCUCCUCUCCACAAAAAGACUCUUACACGUCGUUUCAUGUUUUUGCCGUGCGGCCCACCGAGUUUAACCAGGGCUGGCCACGUAAGCAUGGGUGUAAGCUGUCCACUGCAGGCUGAGAGACUGACCACUGACCACUCCUGACGACAGUGACUGCCCCCCCAACCCGCGUCCGUUAACGGCCUCAUCUCUGGGGAGGGGCAGGCUUUGUUCAUACAGUGUUCCGGGUCCGCUCUGCAACUCCUAUGACUCGAUGACAAGAGGUGGGGUCCAGGAAACCUUAAAUUUAGCCACUGCCCCUGGUGAGACCGAUGCGGUCUGGGGGCUGCUAAUCUCAGCUAAGAGGCUGGGUCCUUGUUCAUACCCGGAGAUGGACUCAUUCAGGCCUCCGACCUUCUUCUAGACCUCAAUGCAGUCUGCCGGAUGGAGGAAAUGGGAAUUAGCGGGAGGGGUGACAGGUCCUUGAUUCAAGAGCUGGAGUACCCUGGGAAUUUGGACAGGGCUUGGCUGAGGCCGGGGCUGCAGUCCUUAGGGAACCUCGCUUUCCCUUUUCUUCCCAGGACUCUCAGAAUGGAUGUCACACCCUCGCAUUGGGGCAGCACAGAACUUAGUGAGAUUCAGUUAGGACUGGUUCUGUGAGCUGGCCUUGAACCUCACCCCAGGGCUCCUUGAGAAGGCUCCCUGUAGGAUUUUGCCAGCUGCUUCCUGAAGCCACCCCCUGCUCAACUGUUGGGAGCCCCUUUCACCGGAACACAAAAGACACAGAGUUGGGGGGUCGUGUUCAAGACUGAGGAUGAGUUGGCUCUUGCAAUGAGUUUGGACCCUGUAGAGAGAAGCCUUUUUCUUGCCAGCCAUUUUGGUUUUUCUCCACCAGUCGCCUGGGCUCUGCCACGUUGCAGUCCCCAAAUGAACACACAGGAUGCUGUAUUAAUUAUGAAGCUGUUGGCUGUUUGCUUGUUUCUUACUAGAUAUCUUUGAUUUAAGUAUUUAACCCAUCUAAGUAUUUCUAAGUAUUUCUCUUACCAGACGGAGGACCCAAAUACGAUUCCAGAGGAUUGCGGCUUCUGAAGAUCAUGGAUACAGAGAGAAGCCCCCUCUUAACCUGCAACUUUAGAAUCUACAGAAAGAACUUCCUCUGUGUGUGUGUGUGUGUGUGUGUGUGUGUGUGUGUGUGUAGGGGGGCAGGAGGGUAGAGGGAAGACCCAGCUGGGUGGGCAGCCUGGGGAUGCCUGCUUUGGGGCAGUGUGCACUCAGUGGGGUUUGUAACUUCAGCACCACCACAGCAACACUAAUGCAACCCUGAGUCCCCAAACACACUCCUCUCCUUGAUUCCCUCGUGGCAUUUUUAAUGCCAAGGCUGAUCUCUUGGGGGCGACAUGCUUCGGCAAGCAGUCAAAAGGUAAGAGAUGACAUUUACAAAAAUCCAUUCUUUCUUCUCUCUGCCUCAUCACUCCAUUGACUUUUCCCAUUCAAUCAAGUCCCACUCAGCCACACAUCCCAUUCCAGGAACUACCACGGUGAGGGGGUUUCCGGUCCUUUCUUCCCCGUGUUUGCUGUGCCGAUCGCUCCCCACGCCCAGCUGGGAAGGCCUGGGGCCACUGUUGGUUUGUUCUGUGGUGUCCCCGGUGCCUGGCACAUAGGAGUGGGUUGCUAUCUUUAAGGACUAUGCUGCACUCUGCUGAGGACUGUGGCCCCACGUUGGUCUGGCCUUUUUCAUGUUCCUGUGAACUUGCUCAGGGGAGGGAUUGGGGCUGCCAGAUAGCCGAUGUGACAAAGACAGUGUAGAUACCCAAAUUGUAGAUAACCUAGUGGCUUUCCGGGCUGCCUUGAGUCUAGGUUUAUUUCUCCUGUUCAUUCCCCAUUCUUGUUUACGAAGCCUUGUGAUGUGUAAAUAUUCUGGGUAUGGCCCUGUGCGAGGCUGGGAACACAGAGCCCUUGCUUCCUGGCUGACAUCUUCCCCACAUCUGUUGACAGUGUGGCUCCUGCUGACUGGAUGCCUUUGUGUUCCUUCAACAGGCAGUGGAGAAACACACACUAUUCUGAUUGACUGCAUCAUGUGCUGGAGGCCAGUCUGUCAGCUAGGCCACCGCCCAAAGAGGGCCCUACAGUGCCAGCUCAGUCCCCACAUCCAUUGCUGUCACUGCCCUUCGCUGGAGGCUUUGUGCCCUGCCUCUCCUGCCUCCAUCCAGGUCCUGACAACAGUCCCAUGGGGCUGAGCUUCUUUGUUCCUCUUCUGUCAGGGAUGUGUCAAUCCAGGGCCCAGGGGUUUAAGAACCCACCCAAGGCUUCACAGUGAGCGCCAGUGCAGAGCAGGAGAAAAUGCAGUCUUUCUGACCCCUGGGUGCUGAUGCUCUACCACGGCCUGCAGCACGCAGGCUUCUGCUGUUCCUCAGCCCUGGGCCCGGCAUGGGCUCUGUGGGCACUUCACCCCGUGAGUCAGCAGCACGCAGGGCCGCCCAGCUGAGCAGGCAGGGGCACCCACAGUUCUGAGGUAAGCAGCACAGAGGUCAAACCACUUUUUCUUAGAUGCAAGUGUCUCCCCUUGAUGCACGAUUUCUCCGUCAGCAGGGCCGGCUGAGCCCUUGUCGCAAGGUGGGGAUUGCUGGAAGACCAGUCAUUCCCAGCGGCUACUCGGGCCUUCCUGGGGACGUGGGCCAGUAGGUUCUUAGCCCUCUUAAUCCCAGCUGCGACAAGAUUCUGACCAGAGUUUGAUGACGGAAAGUUCUAGAAUUGAUGGGUCUGGGGAAAGACUGUGACUAGAGACACUGCGGCCAGACGCUGCAUUAAGUACUUCAGCUGUCUGUGGAGGGUGAAGGGACUUCUGAGGAAGGUGGGCAGGUCUCAUUUCCUUCUUUAUAGUUGUGAAUGAGAACUCCCGGAGAGAAGCUGUGUCUGUGGGGACUUCUGGACUGAUUAGAAUUUCAGUUCUCUGACAAGACCGGAAUGCUUCAGGCCCAGAGGUUGGUUACCUUAUCUUGGGCUGUUCUAGCACCCAAGAACAGCCAUUCUUUGUUCACACAAAAGUGUCAGAACAAAUAUCUUAUGACAAUAGAAAACCCCCCUCUUAAUAUCUAUUAUCUUAGCGGCCUACCAGCCUCUGCCAACCCGGAAGCUUAGCGUCCGGAGCCUGUAGGAAAACUUCCCUCAAAUCACUGUGCCUGCCUCUCUGAUGUAUUUUGAACUUGUUUUGGUCGUUCUGUAAAACUGUACAACUUCAUGACGAUGCUUCCACAUAGAAACAUGGAAUUGGGGGCAAAAUAAAUCUGUGUUCCUGGGCCAUGCUCACUCAAAGUGGCUCUGGACUAAAGGGUCUCUUAUGCCCUUUAAGACAAGAGCUGUAGGUUUUGUGUCAACACAGUUGUGGACACAAAGGCUCACACACGUCCACCGACUCGGCUAAUGGCCGUGAGUGUCUGCCAGGGUGUGAACUUGGCUUCACUGUAUCCGUUUUCUAGGCUGGGCUCAGUGCUACUGGUGGCCUCCAGGGGGCACCGCUGUUCGUCCCAGAGAGGAAGAGGUCUGGCUCUUUUGCACACUCUUGGGGGUGCAGGGGGGCAUGGAGUCAUUGCGCUGUCUGCGUGUGACUAGCUGAAGCCACCACAGCUGCGCUCUUCUGCUCCUCCCUUGCCUGGGCCUCCGCUCUGGCUGAAGAUGAGCACGAAGCUGCAAACUUGCUUUGUGCUCAGCCAGGUGUGGACAGCUUCGGCGGGACCUGGUCCUCCCACACUUCCCUGGAAGCACAGGAGAGUUAGUGAAUCUGACCCCUGAGUGACAGCAGGUGGGAGAGAUCUAUCCGGCUGGCACAUUCUCUUUGUGUCUCCGUCGGCUAUUUGGAGACUCGGCGCUUCCUUCUCGUCUCCUUGGAGAAGUCCGUUCUGCCCAGGGCGAAUGCGGGGUGGCAGCCCGUACUCUUAUCGUUCCCUGCUCUCGUCUCCCGCUCUCCCUGCUCUUCCCAUUUCCUUUUCUCUUGUCUCACGUCCCCUGGAUCGUAAGCCCCUGGCUCUAACAGCUUGUUGGCAUGCGGGCUUUGUCCAGGUUCUGUACCUGAGUAAUAUAGGUUAAGUAUGCUGUUGUCAUAGUCACGAAUGGUGACACCUCUCCAGCUAUGCAUUGCACGUUGUCUGGGUUACCCAUCCCACCGAACCCUCAGGCUAUCGGCAUGAAGCAGGAAUUAUUAUUAUUAUUAUUAUUGUUGUUGUUGUUGUUGUUGUUGUUGUUGUUCCUUGUGGUGUUUUGAAUGAGGAAUGUCCCAGUUGGUGGCACUGUGUGGGGAGGUGGUCUAGCCUUGCUGUAGGAAGUACAUCACUGGGGCGGGCUUUGAGACUUUACAGCCUCAGCACACUCCAGUCCUCUUUCCCUCUACUUCCUGUUUGCAGCUGAAGAUGUGAUCCUAGUUUACUGAUCCAUCUGCCUGCCGCCACGCCUCUCCUGCCAUCAUGGACCCCCCCCCCCAACCAUUUGAAACUGUAAAGCCAAGUAAAGUCAUUGUUUCUUCCUUAA